rnacentral:rRNA from 1 species
CUGUGAGCUCGAUGAGUAGGGCGGGACACGUGGUAUCCUGUCUGAAUAUGGGGGGACCAUCCUCCAAGGCUAAAUACUCCUGACUGACCGAUAGUGAACCAGUACCGUGAGGGAAAGGCGAAAAGAACCCCGGCGAGGGGAGUGAAAAAGAACCUGAAACCGUGUACGUACAAGCAGUGGGAGCACGCUUAGGCGUGUGACUGCGUACCUUUUGUAUAAUGGGUCAGCGACUUAUAUUCUGUAGCAAGGUUAACCGAAUAGGGGAGCCGAAGGGAAACCGAGUCUUAACUGGGCGUUAAGUUGCAGGGUAUAGACCCGAAACCCGGUGAUCUAGCCAUGGGCAGGUUGAAGGUUGGGUAACACUAACUGGAGGACCGAACCGACUAAUGUUGAAAAAUUAGCGGAUGACUUGUGGCUGGGGGUGAAAGGCCAAUCAAACCGGGAGAUAGCUGGUUCUCCCCGAAAGCUAUUUAGGUAGCGCCUCGUGAAUUCAUCUCCGGGGGUAGAGCACUGUUUCGGCAAGGGGGUCAUCCCGACUUACCAACCCGAUGCAAACUGCGAAUACCGGAGAAUGUUAUCACGGGAGACACACGGCGGGUGCUAACGUCCGUCGUGAAGAGGGAAACAACCCAGACCGCCAGCUAAGGUCCCAAAGUCAUGGUUAAGUGGGAAACGAUGUGGGAAGGCCCAGACAGCCAGGAUGUUGGCUUAGAAGCAGCCAUCAUUUAAAGAAAGCGUAAUAGCUCACUGGUCGAGUCGGCCUGCGCGGAAGAUGUAACGGGGCUAAACCAUGCACCGAAGCUGCGGCAGCGAC